rnacentral:lncRNA from 10 species
AUUCAAUCCAGAUGAUAAUCUCUGAUUUUUUUAACUAUUAACUUUCUCAUUUUACUUUCUCAUGUGGAAAAAAAGAAACUGAAAGUAUGGAAGAGCAAAUGCAUGGCCCAGAACCUCAGAGCUAGCCUGGCACAGCGGUUCACACCUGUAAUCUCAGCACUUUGGGAGACCAGGGAAGUGGAUCAUUUGAGGACAGGAGUUCAAGACCAGCCUGGCCAACAUGAUGAAACUCCAUCUCUACUAAAAAAAAAAAAAUACAAAAAUUAGCCUGGCAUGGUGGCACAUGCCUGUAGUCCCAGCUAUUCGGGAGGCUGAGGCAGGAGAAUCACUUGAACCUGGGAGAUGGAGGCUGCAGUCAGCCUAGAUCACGCCACUGCACUCCAGCCUGGGCGAAAAAGUGCGAUUCCAUCUCAAGAAAAAUAAAAUACCUGGUUAUUUGUUUUCUUACUACUGAGUUGUUUGGAUUCCUUAGGCAUUUUGGAUAUUCACUUUUCACAAGAUACAUUGUUUGCAAAUAUUUUCUCCCAUUCUGUAGGCUGUCUCUUUACCCUGUGGAUUGAUUCCUUGGCUGUGCAGAAAAGUUUUAGCUUAAUGUAAUUCCAUUCAUUUAUUUUUGUUUUUCCUGCCUGUACUUUUGGAUUUAUAUCCAAAAAUACCAUUGCCAAUGACAUGGAGGCUUUUCCUUGUUUCCUUCUAGUAAUUUUACAGUUUCCAGUCUGCCAUUUAAGUCUUUAUUUUGCAUUUAUUUUUAUGUGUGGUGUGAAAUAAAGUUCUGGUUUUAUUCCUGCAUAUAAAUAUUUACUCCAGUUGUCCCAAAACCAUUUAUUGAAGAGACUGUUCUUUCCCCAUGCCAAGAAGAGACUGUUCUUGGCACCUAUGGUGAAAAUCAAUUAAUUGUAAAUGUAUGAAUCAAUUUCUGGGCUUUCUAUUCUGUUCAUUUGGUCUAUGAGUCUGUUUUUAUGACAGUACCAUGUCAGAGCUAGUAAUUUUGAUGCUACACUAUGUAUCCAAGUAUUAUUUCUUCACCAUGUCAUGUUAUCUUUACAAAGAAAAGUAGGAGGUUCAUUGAAGAACAUGCAUAGACAAGUAUUUUCAAAGAAUUGACACUUUUUCUUAAACUUUCAUCAUUAAAACUAAAUUAUUUUGACUUCAAUAAGCAUUCUUCUAAAAAUAGGCAUAUUACUUAAAUGAUAUGGUAUUAAACUGAAUAUAAAGGUAUUUAACAUCAUAGGGAAGACUACCAGAUAUUUGCACAAAAAUAAAUCAAAGAGAAAACCUCUUGUUUCUUGAACUAGUUUCAGAUCAACAAAGCCAUAACUUCACUUGGAGAGAGAAAGUAGAGUUAGUGCCUACAUGUUGACAAACAAUAAUGCAACCCAAGUAUUUCCAAUGUUCUGGGAAAUGGUUUCUUCUCAGUCCAUCUACUAUGAGUCAAUGCCCUUUAUUUGGGUAGUUCUGACAUUGAGUUUAGUCAAUGACGUCAAUGAAAAGUUCAUUCUACACAAGACCAAACCAGAAAAUUUCACUAUUUUGCCUUUACUACUGGGCUUUUUCCCUUGUUUUCAGGUUUCUAGAAGUGAGGGGUUGCCAGGAUUGUAGACUAAUGGUCUGAUAGGAGAAACUUAAGAAUUUGAAGUUGUAAUAGGCCUGAUUCUGCUGGUCUAAAUCUCUCUGAAUUUUAUUUAGAUUAUCUCUGCAGCACGAAAGCUGGUCUUUCUUACAGGUUGGGUUCUAUGAAAUUAAUUUUCUGCAUGCAAUUUGAUUUUAUUUCAAGCAAAUGGGAUGUUCUCAGGUGCGUAAGAACCAUUAUCUGUCACUUUGCACACUGUCCCAUGAUGGAAAGUUAUGCACCUCUGAGACUUCAAUCAUUCAUUCAAGGCUAGAACAUCAUUUCGCUUAUUCCAACAGAAAUUUGCUAAAUGUUAAGGAAGCAUUUAGCAUACUCUAAGAUUUAUACUUAUCUGGCAAUGACUCUAUUAUCUUACUGGUUCAAAAGAAUUAUUGCUGUAAAUUUUUAAAAUGUGGAAGUUUUUAUCAGGCAGUAUAUUUCUUAAGUAUUGGGACUGCUUGGCUCUUUUAGUUUCAUUUGUGUAAUGUUGCUUUUAGAAUUUCAUAGUUUAGACACAUAGCAUUUUUCUAAGCAGAAAUCAAACUGCCUUAUGGUACAAAUAAUAAAAUAGCUUCAGAAAAUGACUUGCAGAACAGUAGGUGUCCAUUACUAUCUCUCUCUCUCUCUCUCUCUCACACACACACACACACACACACACACACACAGAGCCCCCGCAUUGUUGUUUCUCUGAUUACCUUUCUUUUCUUUUUUUUUUCUUUUUUGUCUGUUUUCUCUAAUAAAAAUCUCUUGACCUCCAAAUAGAAUAUUUCCUCCCGGUAUGCAAUUUUCCUACCAUGACAUUUAUCACAGUUCAUAGUUUACUUAAUUACCUGUCUGUCCCCAACAGACUCUAUAUAUUUUUUAACAAGGACUAUGCCUAUGUUGUUCCUGGUCAUAUUCCUAGAAUUUUGCACAGUGUAAGGCAUAUGGCAUAGUCUCAGUAAAUAUUUGUUGAAUGAAUUCAGGAAUUAAUACGAUUUUAACUCAAGACUCAAUAGUGAUCCAUGAUUACCUAGCCUGAGCUUUUGAAAGUAUAUAUUGUGUGAAUACUUAUCAAUAUACUUUUAUGUAUGCAGUUUCCUGAUUACCAUCAUAUCCCGCACAAUGACAUUAUUUUUAUUGUUUCCUUCUUCCUAAUAUUUCAACAAAAACACUUUAUUUACUGAAAAUAAUUUCUAAACAGAACAAAAUAUAAUAUUUUAAAUAAAAUAUUAAAAUUCUAAAUAAAAUCUUUAAAUUAAAUAUUAGAUUUUGUUCUGUUUACCAUGAAGAAAAUCAGAAGAGAGUGCAUGAGUGUGUGUGUGUAUACGUAUGUGUAUAUGUGUGUGCAUGUUCCUUAAGGUGGCUGAUAAGGCACACUUCAAGGAUGAGAAAGAAUCCUGGAUUAUGUUAACCACCAUAAAUAACUGGAGGGCACAUGUCUUGCUAACUAUAACUAUUCAGAUGCCAAUCAGAGGCUCACUAGCCUUACAAAUAUCAAUCUCAUGUGUUCUCUGUACUAUGUAUGUUCUCAGAAGACUAAUGAGCUACAUUAGAUAUGUAUAAUAAAGCCCCUUAUAAGAGUGCAUUUUCCCACUACCUGGGUAUCACACAAAUGCUGAGGAAAGUUAAGGCAAAUGAAAAAGCACAACUGAAAAAUGAAAGGUCAACUUUUAGUCACCUUAAUAUUACUGGGGAGAGAAUAAGAGGGGAAAAGUGAUGAGGUGGAAAGGAAGUAUGAUUUCCUAUAGCCAAUUCCACAUACAUAAAAUUAACAGAAAAUCUAUUCGGAACCCAACAUACUUUAUUAUCUCUUGGAGACAAUACAAAUAGGAAGCUUGCAUCUUUAAAUAUACUAAACAUAUAUACUUUUCCAUGUAAACAGUGGCUGAUCCAGAAUUAUAGUUAUUAAUUAUGCCUACAUUUCAUUUACAGAAAAAUAAAUUUUCAUCUUUGAAAUGGUAACCUUAAACUAAUGUUAAAAUUAUACGAAGCAUCUGUACCAGAAAAACAGCCACAAUAUGAGCCAAACAAGCAAAUGCUUGACCAUAAAUACAUGGAUAGUUGUUUCUAGUCCUGUCAUUUACUACCAUUUUGGCCUUAACUUUUGUAAGCCUCAGUUGUCUGAUAAUGCAAAAUAGGAAUAAUAGUCCCACCUAAGUAGAUUUCUAGUGAGGAUUAAUAAUAUAAAGCCCUUAGUACAGUGUGUGCUACAAAGUAGGCAUCUAAUAAAAAGUAUUAUUGUUUGUUUGAUUUAGAGUAUGAGAAGACUCAAAUACACAUACAUUGACAAUUAUGCUAUAACAUAAUUUCUAAACUGGUAAAUUAAAUUUUGUAAACUAUUCCUGGUUUUUUAAAUGUAAUUUUUUUCCUCAGUAACAGACAAACAAGCAAGGACAAUUUAAUGCCACUUCCAGCAUUGUUUGCUCAUUUUUUUGUUUCCCCUGAUUCCCUAUCACUGCCUAUUUUAUUUUCCGUUGCUUAACAGAUGGGAAGUGAAAAAACAUAAGCAAAGAAAUACAGCUAAAAAAAUAGCGCCCAUGUUGACUGAAGUAAUUUCAAGAGGAUUUCAACAAAUUCCAUCUUCAUCAAUCCAGAUUAGUUGGAAAGUCUUUGGUAUUUGUCAUUCUUCACAGAUCCUAACGAACAACUUACUUUGGCAAUAUGAACUAUCCCAAUCCAGCUAUCUCAUCUGGAUGUUUUUCCUAUUAACUAACUUCCUCUGGCUUAAAAGAUAGUAGUACAAGGAUCUGAAAAAGCAAAAGGCCAAAAAGUGAGUUCUAGACAUCAUCCCACUUUCUCCAAUACCUAGUCACUCAUCUUUCCUGUGUCCAGUUUCUUUUGGCUAAGUUAAAGUUAAAUGACUAAAUAUGGGAGAGUGGCAACUUGGAUUGCCAGAACAAUUUUCAACAUUAAGAUUGUAGAUUGUCCUUAAUUUGCAUAUUGCUGCAGACUUGACAUAGUUUCAGUGCUUUAUGACUCAGGGUUCUCCACAGAAACAUAACUAAUAGGAGAUGAUAGAUGGAUAUUUACAUAGAUAGAAAGAUAGACAGACAGAUAGAGAAUUUAUUAGGAUAAUUGGCUCCCAUGCUUACGGAGGCUGAGAAGUCCCAAGAUAGGCUCUUUGCCUACUAAAAACAGGGAAGUCAAUGGUGUAACUCAUAAUCUAAGGCCAAAGGCCUAAGAACCUGGAGGUUAUUGGUGCAAACCCUGGAGUUCAAGAGCCAGAGAACAUGGAGUUCCAAUGUCCAAGGGCAGAAAAUAAAGUUUUCCCAUCUCCCGAGAGGAGAAAAGGAAUUCACCUUUGCUCUGUCGCUCUUUUUAUUCUAUCCAGGCCCUCAGCUAAUUGGCUGGUGCCCACCUACAUUGGUGAGGGUGAAACUUUCUUAGUACAUUGAUUCAAAUGUCAAUCUAUUAAAGAAACAUCAUCACAGGCAUAGCCAGAAAUAAAGAUUUACCAGCUAUGUGGCUAUCUAGUCAAGUUGACACCUAAAAUUAACCAUCACAGGUGCCAUUUAUUAAGGCAAAAUACAAGGAAAUAAAUUAAUCAUGAAGAAGCCAUUUUAUUUUCUAAACCAAAAUAUAUAUCAGGGCAAAUGAAAAGUAAGUAUAAGAUUUGGUGCCUUCCCCAAAAGAACAUAUUACAUAAAUAUAUCUAUAUUUUGAAAGCACAUAAAGGAGUCACAAAGUACAAAACAACAAUCCAAAAGGUGCCAAAGAGAAGACCAUGUAACACAGGGAAAUUAGAGUAAGGAGAAACUAAAACAAACAAACAAACAAAAACAAAUACACUAAGCAUACAGAAUGUUUCCACUUUCUAUGAGUUAUUUUCCUAGGUGACAUUUAAAAACAAACAUAAAUAAAUGAAAAGGAAGAAAUGAGGCUGAGGUAGACAAGUAGAGUUGCCCAGUAUGAAGAUGAAUAUAUGACAGUAGAUAAUACUAAAAAUGUAAGAAAGUAUCUAUACACUUAAAAUACAGGUUUUUUCUACAGUUUUUCUAGGAGAUAAGAGCUGAAGCAUUUAUGUGUUAGUCAGAAAAUGUUUUACCACAUCCAUUUUUCUUUGUAUGGAUAGAUGCAGAGAGCAGCAAAAGUGGACUGAGCAGCUUUCCUUGAGCCUAAUAUAUUUUGGUAUUUUUUUUUUUAAGAGCUGCAAAUGACCUGUGAAAAGGGAGGAUAUACAGUCAACUUUAUUUUCAAAAAAACAUUAUCCUUAGAGCAUUUUGUAAUUUGUCAACAGCUCUAUAGUCUUAGGGAUGAUCAGCUCCAAAAUUUUCUGAAACACUUACAUAUCUCAGACAGGUAAAGCAAAACUGGAGCUGCUCUUUUAAAACUAGUGGUUUUGACUAUUGUCCAAAAAUAAAAAUAAAAUAAAAAAAUAGGCAGCUCCUUCAUAAAAGAUAAUGGAAACUAAUUAAAAAGAAUAAAUUUUGUAUAAUUGUCUAGGUAAUAAUGACUUUUAUGCCUUUACAUCCUCUUAUCAGUCAAAAUGAACCUACAUAAAAAACUUUUGUAUUUGUACCAUAUUAACAAGAGCACAGACAAGAUUAUAGAAAUAGCUUUUUCCAUUUUUGUAAAAGUAAAGGAAUGCAAGUCUUGUUGUUUACAGUGCAAUUACUGUGAGGUGACACUUACUUAUGUGUUAGUCAAUAAGGCAAUACUCAUUUCUCUCUAGGAUUUUGUAUUUGGAGAUGACCUGAGUAAAACAGGACUGGUCCUUAACUCAAAAUCAAAUUUCAUUUAUAUAUGAAAUUUAUCUCAUACCUUCUAAAAGUGUGAGUUGGUCAAUCAUAUCAUUCAAUUCCUCCUACCCUCAUGACAGUACCUGGUUACAACAGGCAGUCAGAAUGGAUUAGCAAUUUGAAACAUAACUAUUUUUAAAAGAGACAUUAAAGUUUCUCCUCAGUGGAAUGUUGACUGUCAUAACAAUUGAAAAAGGGUCAUUUACAAUUAGACACAGCAAACCAUUUCUGUGAUUAAAGCAUUGUCAUUUGUAUAAUACCUGAAAUACUAACACACACACAAAAUCCAUUACAAAAAGACAUUUUGAAGUCUUUAUGUAAACUAAAGUUUUAUGACAUCAAAACAAACGGGAAUUUUAUUUCUGGAAGUGUGUGCUUUUAAAUAAGUAUUUGCUAAACAAGGUGUGAAAUAUUUUGUGUUUACUUUCUUAUGUAAUCCUCAAAUGUGCUCUAUACACUACCUCACAGAGGGAAAAAUUUCAAAAAAUUUUAUGUAUUCGAAGUUGUCUGCAUCUGAGCUUUUGGUAUAUCAUUAGAAUAUUCUGUAGCAAACUAAUUUGUUAGUAAGUAUCAUAAGUGUUUCAAAUUACUUAUUUCACAUGAGAUUUAUGCUUUAGAUUGAAUGCAUACAUAUAUUUAAAGGGAAUUGUUUGAAUAUGCUGUACGUGUAUUUGAAGAUAUUACAUUGUCCAAGUGCAUCAAACUGCCAGUAUGUUGUAAAAACAUUAAGCUGCA